UACGGAGGGGGCUAGCGUUGUUCGGAAUUACUGGGCGUAAAGCGCACGUAGGCGGCUUGGUAAGUUAGAGGUGAAAGCCUGGAGCUCAACUCUAGAAUUGCCUUUAAGACUGCCGAGCUAGCAGGUGAGAGAGGUGAGUGGAAUUCCGAGUGUAGAGGUGAAAUUCGUAGAUAUUCGGAAGAACACCAGUGGCGAAGGCGGCUCACUGGCUCAUACUGGACGCUGAGGUGCGAAAGCGUGGGGAGCAAACAGG
rnacentral:rRNA from 1 species